rnacentral:rRNA from 1 species
GAAUAUUGGACAAUGGGCGCAAGCCUGAUCCAGCAAUGCCGCGUGUGUGAAGAAGGCCUGCGGGUUGUAAAGCACUUUCAGUGGGGAGGAAGGCCUCAAUGCUAAUAGUAUUGAGGAUUGACGUUACCUACAGAAGAAGCACCGGCUAACUCUGUGCCAGCAGCCGCGGUAAUACAGAGGGUGCGAGCGUUAAUCGGAAUUACUGGGCGUAAAGGGCGCGUAGGUGGUUAUUUAAGUCAGAUGUGAAAUCCCUGGGCUUAACAUAGGAAUUACAUUUGAAACUAGAUAGCUAGAGUACGGUAGAGGGAAGUGGAAUUUCCGGUGUAGCGGUGAAAUGCGUAGAUAUCGGGAGGAACAUCAGUGGCGAAGGCGACUUCCUGGACCGUUACUGACACUGAGGCGCGAAAGCGUGGGGAGCGAACAGG